UCAAGUUAUUAAGGGUGCAGGGCGGAUGCCUUGGCACUAGGAGCCGAUGAAGGACGUGAUAAGCUGCGAUAAGCUUCGGGGAGUUGCACGUAAACUUUGAUCCGAAGAUUUCCGAAUGAGGAAACUCACUUAGAGUAAUGUCUAAGUAUCAUUAAGUGAAUACAUAGCUUAAUGAGGGGAACUCAGGGAACUGAAACAUCUAAGUACCUGAAGGAAGAGAAAGAAAUUCGAUUCCGUAAGUAGCGGCGAGCGAACGCGGAUUAGCCCAAACCAAUAAAGUUUUCUUUAUUGGGGUUGCGGACAUAUCAUAACGAAGAGGUAUCGUAAUUGAAGAGGUUUGGAAAGACCCACCACAGAAGGUAAUAGUCCUGUAUGUUAAACGAGAAGACUUCAGAUAUGAUCCAGAGUACCACGGGACACGUGAAACCCUGUGGGAAGCAGGAGGGACCACCCUCCAAGGCUAAAUACUACCUAGUGACCGAUAGCGUAUAGUACCGUGAGGGAAAGGUGAAAAGAACCCCGGGAGGGGAGUGAAAUAGAACCUGAAACCCUGCACUUACAAGCUGUGGAAGCACAUUUCUUGUGUGACCGCGUACUUUUUGUAGAACGGGCCAACGAGUUACGUUAAGUAGCAAGGUUAAGCACUUAAGGUGCGGAGCCGUAGCGAAAGCGAGUUUUAACUGAGCGUUCAGUUACUUGACGUAGACCCGAAACCGGGCGACCUACCCAUGAGCAGGAUGAAGCGAAAGUAAAAUUUCGUGGAGGUCCGAACCCACGAGCGUUGAAAAGCUCGGGGAUGACUUGUGGGUAGCGGUGAAAUUCCAAUCGAGCCCGGAGAUAGCUGGUUCUCCCCGAAAUAGCUUUAGGGCUAGCCUCAAGGUGAGAGAUACGGAGGUAGAGCACUGAAUGUCCUAGGGGGUAUUGCACCUACCGAAGACUAUCAAACUCCGAAUGCCGUCAUCUUAUACUUGGGAGUCAGACUGUGGGUGAUAAGAUUCAUAGUCGAAAGGGCAACAGCCCAGAUCGUCAGCUAAGGUCCCUAAAUGUAAGUUAAGUGGUAAAGGAUGUGGGAUUGCACAGACAACCAGGAUGUUGGCUUAGAAGCAGCCACUCAUUCAAAGAGUGCGUAAUAGCUCACUGGUCGAGUGAUCCUGCGCCGAAGAUUUCCGGGGCUAAAACUUACUACCGAAGCUACGGCAUCAGUAAUGAUGGGUAGGGGAGCUUCCCAUACGGGUUGAAGCAUGACCGUAAGGACAUGUGGACAGUAUGGGAGUGAGAAUGUUGGCAUGAGUAGCGAGAUGUGGGUGAGAAUCCCACAGGCCGUAAACCCAAGGUUUCCAGGGGAAGGUUCGUCCGCCCUGGGUUAGUCGGGACCUAAGCUGAGGCCGAAAGGCGUAGGUGAUGGACAACAGGUUGAUAUUCCUGUACUACCGAUAACCGUUUGAGAGAAGGGAUGACACAGUAGGAUAAGCUAAGCACACUGUUGGUUAUGUGUGCCCAAGCAUUGAGGCAGUCAAAGUAGGCAAAUCCGCUUUGAUAAUGCUGGGAUGUGAUGGGGAGCGAAAUUUAGUAGCGAAGUAGCUGAUUUCACACUGUCAAGAAAAGUCUCUAUCGAGGUUAAAGGUACCCGUACCGCAAACCGACACAGGUGGGUGAGGAGAGUAUCCUAAGGCCAGCGAGAGAACUGUUGUUAAGGAACUCGGCAAAAUGACCCCGUAACUUAGGGAUAAGGGGUGCCACCAUCAGGUGGCCGCAGAGAAUAGGCCCAAGCGACUGUUUACCAAAAACAUAGGUUUCUGCUAAGUCGCAAGACGAUGUAUAGGAGCUGACGCCUGCCCGGUGCUGGAAGGUUAAGGGGAUCUGUUAGAGCAAUCGAAGCAGUGAACUUAAGCCCCAGUAAACGGCGGCCGUAACUAUAACGGUCCUAAGGUAGCGAAAUUCCUUGUCGGGUAAGUUCCGACCCGCACGAAAGGCGUAACGAUUUGGGCACUGUCUCAACAACAGACUCGGUGAAAUUGUAAUUCCGGUGAAGAUGCCGGAUACCUGCGACAGGACGGAAAGACCCCAUGGAGCUUUACUGUAGCUUGACAUUGGGUCUUGGUACUACAUGUACAGGAUAGGUGGGAGGCUUUGAAACCAGGACGCCAGUUUUGGCGGAGCCAUCCUUGGGAUACCACCCUUGUAGUACUGGGACUCUAACCAUAGGCCAUGAAUCUGGUCUUGGGACACUGUCAGGUGGGCAGUUUGACUGGGGCGGUCGCCUCCCAAAAGGUAACGGAGGCGCUCAAAGGUUCUCUCAGUACGGUCGGAAAUCGUACGUAGAGUGUAAAGGCAAAAGAGAGCUUGAUUGCAAGACAUACAGGUCGAGCAAGGAUGAAAAUCGGACUUAGUGAUCCGGUGGUUCUGCGUGGAAGGGCCAUCGCUCAACGGAUAAAAGCUACCCUGGGGAUAACAGGCUUAUCUCCCCCAAGAGUCCACAUCGACGGGGAGGUUUGGCACCUCGAUGUCGGCUCAUCACAUCCUGGGGCUGUAGUAGGUCCCAAGGGUUGGGCUGUUCGCCCAUUAAAGUGGUACGCGAGCUGGGUUCAGAACGUCGUGAGACAGUUCGGUCCCUAUCCGUCGCAGGCGUAGGAAAUUUGAGAAGACCUGUCCUUAGUACGAGAGGACCGGGAUGGACGUAUCUCUGGUGUACCAGUUGUCCUGCCAAGGGCAUGGCUGGGUAGCUAUGUACGGAAUGGAUAAGCGCUGAAAGCAUCUAAGCGCGAAGCCAACUUCAAGAUAAGAUUUCCCACCGCAAGGGUAAGACCCCAGAAAGACUAUCUGGUUGAUAGGUCGAAGGUGUAAGUGCAGCAAUGUAUUUAGCUUAUCGAUACUAAUAGGUCGAGGACUUGACCAA
rnacentral:rRNA from 3 species